GAAUAACACGUUGCUGAUGGUCCUCCUUGGGUCAGGUUCUACGCUUCUUUCCUCAUCUCGAUGAUUGGUACUUAAAGUGGCUGUAGAAAUUAAACACAAUAUAGCCGUGUUUCAUUUUUUAAGAUAUCAACUAAACCGUAAGGAAGAAGUGAUGUAAGCUUGAUGUAGUACAAAUAAUGUGCCAAUGUACAUGUACCUCAUUAAAAGUGACUUUUGUAUGAUUUCGUUCUUUGAUUUAAACUAACUUAGAUUAUCUUUCAUGUGCAUUUUUCAUAUCAACUCUUCUCUUUUUCCUUGUCUGCGAUUAGUGAAUGAUUUUAUUAUUGCAUUUGACUGAACAAACAAACUCUUCAAACACACUACACAAAUAAACCGUGGAGUUUAAAAUCUAAACACAUAACAAUUAUCUGUCUUUGUGAUCCGAACGAAUGAACCCAAUCGUUUACGAAAGUUGAGUAUUGAAUCCAUGAUCAGUCUGCAAAAUGUACGGGCAAGUCUACUUGAUGUUGAGAUGUUUUUAAGACGUUUUGUGUGAACAUUCGUCAUUCAUUGGUACUAAGUAGAAAUGCACGCAUUUAUUUUUGAAAUGGCUGUCACAAGACAUUGAUAUUGAUCUAUGCAAAAAUGACCCAGCGGAAGAACAAAGUCCAACAUAUUGCAGCUGAUAAACAACGUCCACUUGCCGGAUCAUUUGUGUUCUGGGGGAAUCCACAUAGUUUCAAAGAAUUUUCCAAUGUACAAGACUUGUUACCCGAGGUACAUGUAGUUCCAGUUUCAAAUAAAACUGAUUCAAAAAGAGAAGGGAGGUCAUACGGAAUUGGUCCAAACCACCAAAUUCAUUUCUACGAUUACGUUCAUGAGGCAAAGUACCAUAGCUACGAGAAAAUACAUUGUUAUCAACCAAUUAGCAAAGACUACGUAUUACGUGACUACACAUUGUGUCACGAGUACAAGCGAGUUCACGAAUACGAUGAUCCUUGGGAAUACUUGGAUUAUGUUGACUACAGACCAAAUUUAAAGAGAUGUAGGUGUAAACCGAAAGGCAGUACGUAUCUUAAGGUCAAACCAAAAGCUAAAUGAUUCCCAAGAUUACGUACAAUCCGCGGGUAAUGUUUUCAAAAUGAUAGAGAGAAUGGCCGGAUACCAAGUCGCAGGAAAGAUAACUCUAGUCACUUUGUAUUGUCAAGUUGGUGUGCAUCGAAUUCCACGUACAGAAAUAAUGGACCAUAACAAACACAACUUUACCGAUUUUUAAAAAAAAUUAUCUAGAAUAAUUAUAUUAUUUACGAAACAUCCAACUGUUCAAGAUAUGUAACUUGUUCAACUAUAAGCUUGUUGAAGAGAAAAUUAAUACAUGGCUUUUGAAUAAAAUCAAAUGAGAAAAACGCUUAA